AAUACAAGGUCGGUGGUCAAUCAUGAGCCCGACUUUAACCCUUCAACUUUUUAUUUGAACAUGUUUGGUCCUUUUCUCCACAUAUCUCUACGACACUAUGCAUCCGUCUCUUUCUUUCUUUUACUGCUUGCCUAACAAACACUCUCCUCUGUCUCUCAUCUCUCUUUCUCUACAACGCUAAUCAGUGGCUCUUUAUCCGUUACCGGAAAGCCCUUUAUUCGACGAAAUAGGUGUUUACUGGUGGUUUUUUUUCACAAAUAUGAUACUAUGAAAUUUAAAACCUUAAUUACCUUUUCGUCGCCUGUUGAGUUCGUCGCACGGGAACAACAGCAGGAAUUCCUUUGGCUUCUACCAUCGUUGUGAACAGUAAAAGAGUGUAACUGGUGCUGGGUUGCGAUUGACAAGGGGGUUACAGAGAGAGCAACCCAGGCAUGUGAUGCAGCCAUCUCUAAGCUAGACACGCUUGGCGAGGAUUCUUGCAAAGAUGGUUCGUUGCAUCUUACCAUGCUUGCUUACGAAAGCUUCUCACUAUGCCCUGUAGUAUGAUGACUAUUUGUGAUAAUUUGAUUAUAUGUGCAGUAGUAACAUGGAGCAUUGCUCCCAUUGCUUGAGUCAUCAAUGUUUUGCUUAAUGCCCAACCACCAUCAAGAGUGAACAGAGUAUAAGUAUACUUUUGGUUAUCAGAUGUAACAGGAGUUUACUUUUGGUAUUACAGUUAUAUGAGUUUGUAGUC